AUGAAAGAUAUUGUAAUGUAAUGUAUUGUAAGAUAUUGUAUAAUUUGUAUUGAGGAUUAGUAUUGUGCUUGACCCUAAAGUGUAUGGUUAAUCCCUUUUGAUACAUGAUCUUUAUAUAAUGAUUUAUUAAUGUGAUGUAAACCAAGCUUGAUGUAUGUAAUGUUGACCCAGCUAGAGAAUUUGGUGAGGGCUCUAGUAUGGGGUUGUAUGUUUAAUGUUAUGGUGCAUGUACAGGUCAAGCUUUGUAGAUGGAAAGUUUAAAAUUUUUAUGAAAAUGUAUGAUCAUGUAUGGGAUUUAUC
rnacentral:lncRNA from 1 species